UGCCGGUGGACAAACCGGAGGAAGUGGGGAUGACGUCAAGUCAUCGAUGGCCCUUACGGCCUGGGCUACACACGUGCUACAAUGGUCGGUACAAAGGGUUGCCAAGCCGCGAGGUGGAGCUAAAUCCCAUAAAACCGAUCGUAGUCCGGAUCGCAGUCUGCAACUCGACUGCGUGAAGUCGGAAUCGCUAGUAAUCGUGAAUCAGAAUGUCACGGUGAAUACGUUCCCGGGCCUU
rnacentral:rRNA from 1 species